rnacentral:rRNA from 1 species
CAGUAGCCGCGGGAAUACGUAGGUGGCAAGCGUUGUCCGGAAUUAUUGGGCGUAAAGGGCUCGCAGGCGGUUUCUUAAGUCUGAUGUGAAAGCCCCCGGCUCAACCGGGGAGGGUCAUUGGAAACUGGGAAACUUGAGUGCAGAAGAGGAGAGUGGAAUUCCACGUGUAGCGGUGGAAUGCGUAGAGAUGUGGAGGAACACCAGUGGCGAAGGCGACUCUCUGGUCUGUAACUGACGCUGAGGAGCGAAAGCGUGGGGAGCGAACAGGAUUAGAGACCCCUGUAGUCCCUGUCUCUUAUAC